CCUAGACCAAAACAAAAAUCCUAUGCAACUUCAGCCCACAAAUUGGGUCGGGUCAGCUAAAAUUGAGUCGGCUCAAUAUGCUACUGAGUCGACUCAUUUCUGGACUGAGUCAACUAACUCUACUGGCACCUGCAGACUCCCGAAAGUGCACUCUCUGUCUGUUCUCACAGUUAGUCGGCUCAGCUAGGACUGAGCCGACCCACCUGGACUGAGCCGACUCCAUCUGACACUGAGUCGACUCACUUUUCAUACC
rnacentral:lncRNA from 1 species